CAUCUCUCAGUUCUGCAUAGCUGCACUUGUUUGCACACGUGUGGCUUUUGUAAUGAGGAGAGAGAAAGGAUCAGGACCUUAGGUUGGCCUCACAGUGGCCAUUCUUUCCUGGAGGGGCACAAGAGAG